AAGGCUUUAGCUUAGUUAAAGCACCUGAUUUGCAAUUAGGAGAUGUAGAUUAAAGUUUUACAGGUCUUC
rnacentral:tRNA from 1 species